CUUUAAGAGUUGGCAUGCAAUAAAGACAGACCCCUCUUAGACAGUGGUUUCCAAUCAAUGGUGCACAAAAAAAUUUUAGUGACCGCAAAAAAAUUGUUAGUCCGCGAGAAAUUUUGAUGGGAAGAGAAAAAUUUGAACAGUACAUAAAAUUGUAUGAACAUAGUUGGACAUCAUUCAAGCAUUGUUGUAAAAGUGAAAAAUGUUG